UUGACCUCGGAUCAGGUAGGAUACCCGCUGAAC
rnacentral:rRNA from 1 species